AUAGAGUGUAUAAGCCUCUAAUGUAUAUAAUAUUGAGCACAAAUUGACAAAGUUCCAGAUCUAUUCUUGGUGUCCGGGACGGGUUACACAUGCCUAUGAGCCAGGGUGGGCUGCGGCACCAAUCUCGCACACGCUUCAUGGUUUCUACUUUGCGUGGAGUGCACUUUGGAGACGAGUGCAUAUAGACACGGCGUUGAGAUGAAUACGGCGCCGCGUAUCACAUGCCGACGCGGUGCAGACUAAAACCGGGCUAUGCAUGAGGUGGGUCGGAUGGUCAACCGACGGAAGAAAACACGACGGUCCACCAAUCACGUGGGCACGUGUGAGGCGAUGUCACAUCUUCCUCUCACUCGCGCGAUUCCCGUCACAGGAAGUCUUCCUAGGUUCUGAAAUUCCCUCCUCCCCAUCCCACAAACACAUUCCACACGGAUUCACGUCUCUUCAUCUCCUUCCUUAAUCGCUCCUUUACGAUGAAGCUUCGAUCCGUGGCUGGGAUUCCUACAAUCCUAGGGCUUUCCAUCGGAUCGAAGUGGGCUUUCUGCUUCUGAUGCCGCGACGACUAUGCAUAAAACCAGAUGGUGUCCAUCGAUCAGUUUUAGAGCACGGAUGAUGAUCGUCUUUGUUGCCAUCUACUCUUGGAGGUAAAAUGCUGAAAGGUAGGAGUAUUAUCAGCAGUGAACCUCUAUCAAGGCCAACCGAAUGCGGUCAUAAGCUAGUAGAACUCUAAGAGGAACGAUGAUCCUCCUCAGUAAUCAGGACAUUGUUGCACCCUUGCUAUGCGGAAACGUUGGGAAAUUUGGCGUAUAUGCGUAACGCAUCACAGUUUAAGGGUAACAAAAUUGUUGAAUGAAACUUUAGAUAAAAAGAGGGGAUUUUACACAAAAAUUACCUAAUUAAUAUGGAAUUUACAUU